AUAAUACUUGUAAUUGCAUUUAAUACAACGCAAGAGACCUAAAGAGGUCCCGAUUAAACCUCCGUUAACUAACCGGCUGUUAACGGAGACAUAAAGUACCGGCCCUUAGUGGUGUAGGGAAGCAAACGAAUGUAACACCAAGACCAAUUGAAAGUCCUCAACAAGUAGAGAUGCACACAUGUUUCAAUCAUUUGAGAUACCCUUUUGUAGAAGUAUUUGGAAGAUAACUAUUAAUAAUUUCAUUUGUAAAGAUACGAUUUGUAAAAAAGUAUAUACAAAGUGGUUUUGCUGGUAUUAAAUAAAUAAAUAAAAAUACGUUGUCAUGUCUUAUUUUUUCCCAAAUGGUAUUUUGUAUAUUUGAAAUUAAAAAUAAUUUGCAUAUUUUAAAACCAAAUUAUUUUUUUUCAACUAUACAAAUAUUUUAACCUAACAUUUUCUUCCCACCAAAAUUACAUUUUGAAAUUCCCGCUUGAAAUUAGUUCCGAUACAAGCGGCAUGGAGCGCUGUUUUUCAUAUUUAACCAAAGCGUUAUCGUGAAACAUCUAGAGGAGGUAGGUGAUAUGUGAUCCCACUCUCAGAAAAAUAUCGCUUUUGACAAGACAUAGGCAAGGUCGAUAUAUCGAUUUCAAGUUCAACUAAAACAGUUCUAUGAUCGGAGACAGACUAUGCUGUAUCCUUUACGUAAAGUGAUUACGUACAUGUGUAAAGUUCACGAAACCUUAAUUCGCACACUUGAUCCAACGUUGCCAAGUCACUAAAAUCUCAAUAUUUGACACCAAUUUGACAAUUGACAGAUUAUCUUUUAAAAAUAAAUGUAAAUAGUUAUGAACAAAACAAAGUCGGGAACAAUGGAUUAAUGGAUAUGUAAAAGCCAUAAGGAGAACAGAACUAAAAUUAAAAUAUGAAAGAAUAUGCAAUAAACAUUGUAUAAAAGUGGAAAGCCAGCCACUUUAAAAAGAUAUUCCAAACUAAAACAUGGGUUACCAAAGCAGGCAAUAAAAAGAAAAGGUGAUCUAGAAUGCAAGAGAAGAGCUGAUGAAAUGUAAAGAAAAUAAUGAAGAGACUUCUCUCGACCAUGAACAAACACCAGCUAUUUUAUAUAUGUAGAAAAAGGAAAAACUGCUGGAACUUUACUUUAAAGGCUUUUGACUAGUGAAGAUUUGGAUAAACAACAGGAGUUACUUUGGGCUAUAGCUACGUGCAAAUUUAUUUUCUUGUGGCUUCCUAUGUUUAUUCUUAUUAACUAUAUCUACACUUUGAUAUGUUUUUAGUCGCAUGAAGAUUUUAUAGUUUAUUAUUUUAUGUAUAUUGUUAUAUUUGUGUUGAAUAAACAUUAUUAUUAUUAUUA